rnacentral:SRP_RNA from 1 species
GCCGGGUGUAGUGGCCUGCACCUGUAGUCCCAGCUACUUGGGAGGCUGAGGCAGGAGAAUUGCUUGAACCCAGGAGGUUGAGGUUGCAGUGAGCUGAGAUCGCACCACUGCACUCCAGCCUGGUAACAGAGCAAGACUCUGUCUCAA